UUCCACUUAGAUUAACCUCCGCUUUGUCUGACAUUUUGUCUAUUUCAUUGAUGUCAGAGCUCGGUGAAGACGUACCAAGCCCAGGAUGUCCUCCUCCACGUGUAAAGACAGCACGCAGCUGAACUUUUCCGCUUUACAUUUCCGCUUUGGGCUACAUAAAAACGAUUAUUAAAAUGCUGCAUAAUUUCAGUGCAAUAAAAAAAAAAAUGCUACAGCGACGAUGAGGAUUUAAGGAGGAAUCUGCAGUGUCGUGCGUGGAGACUCCUCUACUUCAGUGGCUUAGUUAUCAGCCGAUGUCAGGACAAUUAAUGAGAACACUCUGCAUGACAUCAGCUUGACCCUGUUGCUGUGGGUGCCCUGGAUGUAGAACACCCUGGAUGAAAAGGCCUUGGCAGAGGAUGUCAAGACACUGUCUGAGUGACAAUGGUUGAGCAUCACUGGGAGCUGGUGCCAAACCUAGACUUGCUUGGAGGAAAGUGAAAUCUCCUGUUUGCUGCAGUAUGCCUCACACAUAUUCGAGAUGUCAGAGGUCCACUGUAUUUUGGCAGAACGUGUGGUGGGAGGCACCAUGGUCCUGUCAGUGAAGACACCAGCAAGCAGCCAGGUGUCAGUGAAGACACCAGUAAGACAUCUGUGGUGGGCCAUGUUUCUCUUUUCCUGGGUCUGGCCUGAGAUGUCCUCCACGUUGGACAUACCCGGAAUACCACAGGGAGGCAACCUUUCAACACAGAGGAGCUCUGGCUCAACUCCAAGCUGCCCUCCCCUCCCCAGGAUGUCUGAACUCCUCACCCUGAGUCCAGCCAUCCUGUUAAGGAAACUCAUUUCCACUGCUGCCUCUGGAUGUGGAGGAGUAAUAACCAGGCCAUACCUCCAUAAUGAUUGUCAGCUAUUAUAACUACUUGGCUGCCAUUCAGGACACUCUCAGAGCCCAAAAAUUGGAAACAAACAUAAUUAGAUCAACUUAAAGUUUCAGAGAUUUUUUUUUUAAUUCAGAAAAUACUCAGAAAAUAUGUGUUCAUGUUGAGGGAUCUUAUGAUCAUAUGAUGUUGAGCAUCAUAUGACAUGGUCAGUAGGUUUCUUGGCCAAUCACAAUUCAUUAUAAACAAUUGAAAACUAUAGGUUUGACCAUGAUGUAGGGCCCCCAUUUGGCUGAUUCGCACCAAAUGUUGAACAUGUCCUGAGAGAGCCAAGACAAGUUAGUAUACCAAGUUUGGUGUCAGUGGGACAGGUUAGUGGCAUGUUGGUUAUUUUGGAAUUUUCAAAUUCUUUUGCUAACUUUUGUCCAUUUGGUCCUUCUGCAAAGUCUUGACAAAACUGACCAUCUCAGUGUGAUACAUCUUCUGAAAAGUGUCAGUAAAGUCAAAUAGUCUGAGAAAUAUAGGAAUUUUUUGUUUAAAGGCUGGUGAUUUGCACUUACUGCCGCAAUUUCAUUAGCUGGUGUUACAACUUGUCAUUAACUGAACAUUGAGGAGCUGUUGUUACAAUGGCAUGUGCAAAGUUUCACUGAAAUUAUGACUUUCUUUCCUAAUUUUUUAAUGUUUAAGACCAUUUUCUGGUAUACUGCCCCCGAUAUCUGAUUAUCACCAAAUUGCAUGCAGGGUCUUGGUACAACAUCGCAACUUUUUGUUAACUGAUCUUUGCAUUUCCUGAAGGUGUUCCUCACUUUGUUUCCACAUUUUUUGGAGCCUCCACCCACAGCCCACCCCCUCCAUAGACGCUUUACAUCAGGAAAAUGCAAAGGAGAGGAAGAGUAUGUACAAAAACGAUAGGGUUCCAGAACAUUGGACUGGAAUGCCUAAAUAUGUCGAUAAAUGUAGCUUCGAGGUAUAUGACGCACAAUGAAUGAAUGUAGGUUCACCAGUAAAUAUGUAUACACCUGCUACUGUUGUAACUGAGAACCAUACAUUGCAGCUGUCAUGUGAAAUCUCCCCACUUUGCGUUAUCUUUCCUUUCUUUCUUUCUUUCUUUCUUGCUGGUUUGCUUUUCCUUUUUUUCAUUUUCAUUUUUGUAUUUUGUUUGCCAAGUACAUUGUCAUUAUCCCCAAGCUUAUUGAAUCCAUUAUAGAAACAUAUUUGUUAAAAGUUGACAUUUUGGAGAUAAGACCUCUCUGUGCCAAAUAAAUAUUGCUCUGGAUGUGGAAUAAUGCAGUAAAUUACCACAAGAGGGCAGUAUGUUGCCUUUCACGAGACAUGGAACUGAUCAGGUGGGUCUUCUAUCAAUUCUUUGAGCUUAAUGCAUUUGGUGAUGCUGGCAGAGCUGCUCUGCAGAGAGAGCUUUACCCACAGGUCCAAUGAGGCAGAUUCUACCUGGAAAUACAAAUAAAUCAUUCAAAUAAAGGAAUAAAUUUAUGUAGGAGUCAUGACAGUUUUAAUAUGGUGCCAAAAUGAAUGAGGGGGCAUGAGAGUAGAUGAUUUUGUGGAAAUAUUUCUUUGUUACAGUACACAUACGAAGGCUGAGUAUGUGCCAAUGAACAAUGAAUAAACAGAA